AGAAUUUGCUAUUAAAGUCCGUCGAAAUUGCAUUUGAAUUUUUCGUUAACAAAAUAAUUUGUGCUGCAACAAACAAAAUGAGACAAGUUUUAUUUGCCAUUGUCGUUGCUUUGCUAGUGACUGCAAUAUAUGGUAGUCGUAAAGGAAAAGAAAAUGAACACAAACAUAAACAAGAAAAUAAAAAGAAUAAAAUACACCCCACGCCUUCUCUAUACCACACUUAUUCUCAAGGAAAAUUGAAUAAACAUGAUCAUCAACAAGGUAAUAA
rnacentral:lncRNA from 1 species